GACGAACGCUGGCGGCGUGCCUAAUACAUGCAAGUAGAACGCUGAAGAGAGGAGCUUGCUCUUCUUGGAUGAGUUGCGAACGGGUGAGUAACGCGUAGGUAACCUGCCUUGUAGCGGGGGAUAACUAUUGGAAACGAUAGCUAAUACCGCAUAACAAUGGAUGACACAUGUCAUUUAUUUGAAAGGGGCAAUUGUUCCACUACAAGAUGGACCUGCGUUGUAUUAGCUAGUAGGUGAGGUAAUGGCUCACCUAGGCGACGAUACAUAGCCGACCUGAGAGGGUGAUCGGCCACACUGGGACUGAGACACGGCCCAGACUCCUACGGGAGGCAGCAGUAGGGAAUCUUCGGCAAUGGGGGCAACCCUGACCGAGCAACGCCGCGUGAGUGAAGAAGGUUUUCGGAUCGUAAAGCUCUGUUGUAAGUCAAGAACGGGUGUGAGAGUGGAAAGUUCACACUGUGACGGUAGCUUACCAGAAAGAGACGGCUAACUACGUG
rnacentral:rRNA from 1 species